rnacentral:rRNA from 1 species
CAGUCGCCGCGGGAAUACGGAGGGUGCAAGCGUUAAUCGGAAUUACUGGGCGUAAAGCGCACGCAGGCGGUCUGUCAAGUCAGAUGUGAAAUCCCCGGGCUUAACCUGGGAACUGCAUUUGAAACUGGCAGGCUAGAGUCUUGUAGAGGGGGGUAGAAUUCCAGGUGUAGCGGUGAAAUGCGUAGAGAUCUGGAGGAAUACCGGUGGCGAAGGCGGCCCCCUGGACAAAGACUGACGCUCAGGUGCGAAAGCGUGGGGAGCAAACAGGAUUAGAUACCCCUGUAGUCCCUGUCUCUUAUAA